rnacentral:misc_RNA from 1 species
AAGUCGUAACAAGGUUUCCGUAGGUGAACCUGCGGAAGGAUCAUUAGCAAAUCUGCGUGGUGCGGUCUGGCUUGCUGGACUUGCUCCCACAUUGACUCGGGCCGCCCUCCUGGGGGGGGGGGUCUAGAGACAUUCACGCUUGUAUUGUAUGACUGAGUCAUGGUGAAGAGAAGAAAAAAGACAACUUUUGACAAUGGAUCUCUUGGCUCUU